rnacentral:rRNA from 1 species
GUGCCAGCCGCCGCGGUAAUACGGAGGAUGCGAGCGUUAUCCGGAUUUAUUGGGUUUAAAGGGAGCGCGGACGGGAGGUUAAGUCAGCUGUUAAAUGGCGGCGCCCAACGUCGUCCCGCGGUUGAUACUGGCUUCCUUGAGUGCGGCAUGGGCAGGCGGAAUUCACGGUGUAGCGGUGAAAUGCUUAGAUAUCGUGAAGAACUCCGAUCGCGAAGGCAGCCUGCCGGACCGUUACUGACGUUUAGGCUCGAAAGUGCGGGUAUCAAACAGGAUUAGAUACCCUGGUAGUCCGCACAGUAAACGAUGGACACUCGCUGUCGGCGACAGACGGUCGGCGGCUUAGCGAAAGCGUUAAGUGUCCCACCUGGGGAGUACGCCGGCAACGGUGAAACUCAAAGGAAUUGACGGGGGCCCGCACAAGCGGAGGAACAUGUGGUUUAAUUCGAUGAUACGCGAGGAACCUUACCCGGGCUUGAACUGCAGGGGUAUCGGUGAGAGAUUGCCGAGCCAGCGAUGGUCCCUGCGGAGGUGCUGCAUGGUUGUCGUCAGCUCGUGCCGUGAGGUGUCGGCUUAAGUGCCAUAACGAGCGCAACCCCUUCCUCCAGUUGCCAUCGGGUGAUGCCGGGCACUCUGGAGGUACUGCCGCCGUAAGGUGCGAGGAAGGCGGGGAUGACGUCAAAUCAGCACGGCCCUUACGUCCGGGGCCACACACGUGUUACAAUGGGGGGCACAGCGGGAUGCUACCGUGCGAGCGGAUGCCGAUCCUGAAACCCUCCCGUAGUUCGGAUUGGGGUCUGCAACCCGACCCCAUGAAGCUGGAUUCGCUAGUAAUCGCGCAUCAGCCAUGGCGCGGUGAAUACGUUCCCGGGCCUUGUACACACCGCCCGU